rnacentral:tRNA from 2 species
GGUGGCGAUGGCCUGGGCGAUGGGCUGGUCGGUCUCCAGCUGGAUGAAGCCGAACUGGCCGCCCUGGUUGCAUUCCAGGAACCACCA